GGGGUCGGCGCCGCGGAGGCGGGGAGGGAGGGAGGGAGAGUUGAGCCAGAGACCCGGGACCCCGCCCCCGCACACCUGCCAGUGCCCCGUAGCUUCGGCCGCGGGCACUGGCAGGAGAUGAGAGGCUGCUGUCGCCCGGUUGGAAGGACAUCGGCGCCCCCCAGGCCCGGUCCCCGCCCCAGUUCCUCGGGCCUUUCCUGCUGCCCCUGCCUGCGAGGGCCGACGACACGGAGAAUAGGAUCCUGCGCCCAACCCAGGUCCCCGCCUUCUUUCAGAGGCCCAGGCCUGGACCCCGCUGAGCCGCAGAUGUGCGAGCAGGAGCGCCAGAGCCCCGAUGCCCGCUCAGCAGGAAGCGGGCGGGAGAUGGUUCCUUCCUUCUGUCCUGAGGGGGAACCCUGCACAGAGGGACCAUUGAGGGGCUGGCAUUGUCUGUCUAACUCACCCGGUGCCUCCCUCCCUGGGUGGGCCAUGCGGGGCCCUGACAGGAUUGCCCUGGUGCCGUCUUGGCAGUGGGUCUGGGUGGGAUCCUGGGGGCAGGGCUUCCCUGAGUGCAGACAGCUAGGCCUCCACCUGCCCCGGCCUCCCACCCAGGCUCAGAUUUCCAGGGCAUAAGGCUCCAUUGUCCCAGCACUGGUGGAGGCGGCUUGUCAAUUCAGCCUUGUGUUUGGUGGUUGGGAAAUUCCCAGCCAUGGGGGGCUACAGGCAGGAAGGGGCUGCCCGGGUGUCCUGCACCCCAACUGAAGGGACUCCAUGAGGUUGGUUCCUGGGCAUCCCCUGCUACCUGGAGCUGUCCCAGGCUGGACCUCAACCAUUCAUCAACCCUCAGGAGCAGUUGGGUGAGGAGCACCAGAAAUUCAAUGCUCCCUGGCGCUGCAUCCCCAGAGCCCUCCCAGCCUAAGAAGCCCCAUCUUUCUGUCUCCAUCCAUGGGGAGCUGCAGCUGUGAGGCCCAGGACCCUUAGCAGGACAUGCAGAGCUGGGCAGGGACCCAGGCUCAUGCUCCCAGCGGGGGGUGAGUUGUCUACAGCCUGUGGAGACCGCCAUGAAGCUGAUCUGCCUCCCAGAGGGCCUGGCCCACUUGAAAUAAUUGCUCCAGCUACUGAUGUGGUGGGAACUUUGGUAUUUUUAACCCAUUUGGGGGGUGGGGGAGCAGCUGGGAAGAGAGAGGCAAGCUUUCAGGGUCAGCGAGGCCUGAGAGAGGAGAGUAGAGGGAAACUCAGUGAGGAGGAGCCAGGCAAGCUGCCUCAGUAGUUUCCCAGGCCUAGACACCCCCACUGUACCACCCCCUGUCCCAGCAGGUAGGUGCAGACCUAGAUGCCAGGUGCAGAAGGGGGAAAGGGCCCUCUCCAGGGUUACAGCAGGGAUCACUGAGGCUGCAGGGGCUGCCAAGGCCUGGAAGAAGUCCCAUGUUCCAGGGAGCCCCAUGGCUUCUGAUGUCAGGAAAACUUAGUCCUCUCAGUUCCCCAGAAUCAUUUCACCCCACCACACCCAAACUGAGUGCCAAACCAGUUGGGUGGAGAAUACAAGCCCUGACUCCAGCUGCCUGGUCAGUGGCAUGGCCAGCCAAGUCCUAGUGACCCUGGGAGUCAGGGAGGAGGCAAAGACAAGACUACAGCAUUGUUUGGCUGAGUUCUGGGUCUGGCCCCACUCCCCAAAACUGACCCCAGUCUCUGUGUCUGCUGCCCUAAAAAGAGACCCUGGAGCUGGGUGUGGUGGCUCACGCCUGUAAUCCUAGCACUUUGGAAGGCCAAGGCAGGCGGAUCACCUGAUGUCAGGAGUUCAAGACCAGCCUGGCCAACCUGGUGAAACCCCAUCUCUACUAAAAUACAAAAACUAGCUGGGCAUGAUGACGGGUGCCUCUAAUCCCAACUACUCAGGAGGCUGAAACAGGAGAAUCACUUGAACCCAGGAGACGGUGGUUGCAGUGAGCCAAGAUUGUGCCACUGCACUCCAGCCUGGGCGGCUGAGCGGGACUCUGUCUCAAAAAAAUAAAUAAAAAGAGACCCUGACUGGAUGUAGUGGCUCAUGCCUGUAAUCCCAGCACUUUGGGAGGCCAAGACAGGAAGAUCACUUGAGGCCAAAAGUUUGAGACCAGCCUGGGCAACAUAGCAAGACCCCAUCUCUUAAAAACAAAAGAUCCUAGCGGUCCUCAUCUCUACCAUGGACUACCAGAGGGAAGGCAGCACCUCUCAUCACCCAGGGGGAUGGCCUCCAGUCAGCCGGGUGGGGAACGCAGAGCCCUGCCCAGAGGCUUGAACCUGGCACCACAGGGAUCUGGAAUUACACAGAAGACGGGUGACAGCCAAGGUGGAUCAUGAACGGUGAGGAGAAGUCCAGCAGGUGACAAGGGGAAGGGUCUAAAGGGUGGAGGCCACAGCGCAAGCAAAGUCUUGGCAACAAAAGAGCUAAUGCAUCCCAGAAACGGGACAGGUGGAGCACUGGAAGCUACACCAAGCUUCAGAGUGGUCCUGUGGCCUCGGUGUGGUAGCUCAGGCCUGUAAUUCCAACACUUUGGGAGGCUGAGGCAGGAGGAUAACUUGAACCCAGGAGUUCAAGAUCAGCCUGGGCAACAUAGUGAGACCUCCAUUUUUACAAAAAAUACAAAAAUUAACUGUG
rnacentral:lncRNA from 1 species